rnacentral:rRNA from 1 species
UGAGGAAUAUUGGUCAAUGGGCGCAAGCCUGAACCAGCCAUCCCGCGUGCAGGAAGACGGCCCUAUGGGUUGUAAACUGCUUUUCCAGGGGAAGAAUUUUUCUGUCGUGACAGGAAUAGACGGUACCCUGGGAAUAAGCAUCGGCUAACUCCGUGCCAGCAGCCGCGGUAAUACGGAGGAUGCGAGCGUUAUCCGGAUUUAUUGGGUUUAAAGGGUGCGUAGGCGGAUUGAUAAGUCAGUGGUGAAAACCCGCAGCUUAACUGUAGACUUGCCGUUGAUACUGUCAGUCUUGAGUGUGGUCAAGGUAGGCGGAAUGUGUAAUGUAGCGGUGAAAUGCUUAGAUAUUACACAGAACACCGAUUGCGAAGGCAGCUUACUGGGCCAUUACUGACGCUGAGGCACGAAAGCGUGGGGAUCGAACAG